AAGUAAAAAGCGAAGUUUGCACUCUGUUUCGACCAGAAUUUUGGUAUUAUUAUUACCUUUACUUA
rnacentral:tRNA from 1 species